AUUGAACGCUGGCGGCAGGCCUAACACAUGCAAGUCGAGCGGAUGAAGGGAGCUUGCUCCUGGAUUCAGCGGCGGACGGGUGAGUAAUGCCUAGGAAUCUGCCUGGUAGUGGGGGAUAACGUCCGGAAACGGGCGCUAAUACCGCAUACGUCCUGAGGGAGAAAGUGGGGGAUCUUCGGACCUCACGCUAUCAGAUGAGCCUAGGUCGGAUUAGCUAGUUGGUGGGGUAAAGGCCUACCAAGGCGACGAUCCGUAACUGGUCUGAGAGGAUGAUCAGUCACACUGGAACUGAGACACGGUCCAGACUCCUACGGGAGGCAGCAGUGGGCAAUAUUGGACAAUGGGCGAAAGCCUGAUCCAGCCAUGCCGCGUGUGUGAAGAAGGUCCUCGGAUUGUAAAGCACUUUAAGUUGGGAGGAAGGGCAGUAAGUUAAUACCUUGCUGUUUUGACGUUACCAACAGAAUAAGCACCGGCUAACUUCGUG
rnacentral:rRNA from 1 species